rnacentral:rRNA from 1 species
UGGGGAAUAUUGCACAAUGGGCGCAAGCCUGAUGCAGCCAUGCCGCGUGUUUGAAGAAGGCCUUCGGGUUGUAAAGCACUUUCAGCGGGGAGGAAGGCGUUAAGUUUAAUAACCUUGGCGAUUGACGUUACCCGCAGAAGAAGCACCGGCUAACUCCGUGCCAGCAGCCGCGGUAAUACGGAGGGUGCAAGCGUUAAUCGGAAUUACUGGGCGUAAAGCGCACGCAGGCGGUUUGUUAAGUCAGAUGUGAAAUCCCCGGGCUCAACCUGGGAACUGCAUCUGAGACUGGCAAGCUUGAGUCUCGUAGAGGGGGGUAGAAUUCCAGGUGUAGCGGUGAAAUGCGUAGAGAUCUGGAGGAAUACCGGUGGCGAAGGCGGCCCCCUGGACGAAGACUGACGCUCAGGUGCGAAAGCGUGGGGAGCAAACAGG